AUAGGAAAACGGUGUAUGUGCUUCAGAGAGCCACCCACUGUGCCAAGCACGGCGACGUAAGCCGUCUCAUUUGAACCUCCUCACAACAGGAUGGGAACUGCAUAAUCUGGGCACAGUGCCCCAUGCCUGUGCCCUAGCACUCAGCGAGUUGAGGAAGGAAGACCAGAAGGUACAGGGUCAUUCUCGGCCAUAUUUGCGGUUUGCGGCCAGCCUGGGAGACCCAGACUUGGGCUAGUGAAGAACUGUGGAUAUGAACUGCAGGAUUGCUGUAAGGAACAGCUGACACCCUGAACUCUGCACGGAGAACGCUGUAGUGAGAGAACUGUCGGGGAGAGAGGAACAUGGUACCAAAGUAGGAAUGGGUGAGGCUCUGUGUGCCCACAGGACAUGUCCUUUCAUGGGUUGUGGGUCAGGUUCAGCCACAGUGUGAUUGCUCAGCUGAUGUGUGUAUGCUAAAGGGCAGGGUCCAUGCAUUAGGAGUGGCUGGGCUGGGCUGGUGUGGUGUGCUGUGUUUCCCGUGGGGAUGGCGGUGAUUCAUUACCCUUCCCAGCCCGCUCAGCUUCUAUCAGGGUUCAACUUGUAGUAAACAAGUCAGAAAAUGCCAUCUGGGUGAGAAAGAGACGGGGGGGGGGGGGGGGGCGGGGAGCUUCCGAGGUGACCCUCAGUGUCCUGUCAGCCCCAAAUCUUCCUGGAAACUACACACUGGAUCCACAGAGCUCAGAAUCUCUCUCACCAAUGGCAGAAAACCCUUCUUCACCCAAUUUCCGAUCUUUUUUUUUUUUUCUGGAAUGUUCUAGAAACUCUACUCUCCUGGGAUGAUUCUG
rnacentral:lncRNA from 1 species